rnacentral:rRNA from 1 species
UACGAAGGUGGCUAGCGUUGCUCGGAAUCACUGGGCGUAAAGCGCACGUAGGCGGAUCUUUAAGUCAGGGGUGAAAUCCUGGAGCUCAACUCCAGAACUGCCUUUGAUACUGGGGAUCUCGAGUCCGGAAGAGGUGAGUGGAACUCCGAGUGUAGAGGUGAAAUUCGUAGAUAUUCGGAAGAACACCAGUGGCGAAGGCGGCUCACUGGUCCGGUACUGACGCUGAGGUGCGAAAGCGUGGGGAGCAAACAGG